GCAGGUUUAUAUCAAACUAAGGUUAUAACACAGCUUGUAUUGCUUAUAGGCAGGUUUAUAUCAAACUAAGGUUGUAACACAGUUUGUAUUGCUUAUAGGCAGGUUUAUAUCAAACUAAGGUUAUAACACAGCUUGUAUUGCUUAUAGGCAGGUUUAUAUCAAACUAAGGUUGUAACACAGUUUGUAUUGCUUAUAGGCAGGUUUAUAUCAAACUAAGGUUGUAACACAGUUUGUAUUGUUUAUAGGCAGGUCUAUACCAAACUAAGGUUGUAACACAGUUUGUAUUGUUUAUGCUGAAAGUUUGAAGACUAAUGAAAACCAAAAGAUUUUUAAUAUUCAUGAUAAACAUCAUGCUUGAUGUUGAUAAUGUUUCCACAUUCAAUUUCAGGUUUUCAAGUCAGAUGUGUGUAAAACUAGCAUUUUAGAUCUAUCUUUUGUCUAACUGUCUAUGAGGCCUUUCAUAUGCUUUAACUAAUUUGGGCUGGACUGUUUUAUACAGGCAUUUCACAUGAAAUUAUCUUUGUAUAUUACUGAUUUGAAAUUAGUAAUGGACUAAUUAAAAGUAAUGUGGGAUAGAAGCAUAUGCAUUCAUGCAUGAACUUUAGGCCUGUUUGUUUCCAUAUAGUUUUCAGAGAGACCGACUUAAGCAUGUUGUAAUCCACCCAGUUGGCAUUUUUUUUACUUGUUAGGGCACAAGAAUGAUGUAUGAUUGGCAUGUAUUCAGUAUUGCACAUAAAUAAUGUAUGGGUGAUGUGUUACUUCAAUGUUGCACAUGAAUGAUGUAGGGCUGACGUAUUACUUCAAUAUUACACAUGAAUGAUGUAUAGUUGACAUCUGUUACUUCAUUCUUGUAGAAGAAUGAUGUAUGGCUAAACUUUGUUACUUUAGUAUUACAGAAGAAUGAUGUA